rnacentral:rRNA from 1 species
CUAGGGUGCGAGCGUUAAUCGGAAUUACUGGGCGUAAAGCGAGUGUAGGCGGCUAUUUAAGUCGGAUGUGAAAGCCCUGGGCUCAACCUGGGAAUUGCAUUCGAAACUGGGUAGCUAGAGUUUGGUAGAGGUAAGUGGAAUUCCGGGUGUAGCGGUGAAAUGCGUAGAUAUCCGGAGGAACAUCAGUGGCGAAGGCGGCUUCCUGGACCAAUACUGACACUGAGGUGCGAAAGCGUGGGGAGCAAACAGGAUUAGAUACCCGAGUAGUCC